GAUGAACGCUGGCGGCGUGCUUAACACAUGCAAGUCGAACGGGAAAUAUUUUAUUGAAACUUCGGUCGAUCUAAUCUAUUUCUAGUGGCGGACGGGUGAGUAACGCGUGGGUAACCUGCCUUAUACUGGGGGAUAACAGUCAGAAAUGGCUGCUAAUACCGCAUAAGCGCACGGGGCCGCAUGGCCCAGUGUGAAAAACUCCGGUGGUAUAAGAUGGACCCGCGUUGGAUUAGCUAGUUGGCAGGGCAGCGGCCUACCAAGGCGACGAUCCAUAGCCGGCCUGAGAGGGUGAACGGCCACAUUGGGACUGAGACACGGCCCAGACUCCUACGGGAGGCAGCAGUGGGGAAUAUUGCACAAUGGGGGAAACCCUGAUGCAGCGACGCCGCGUGAAGGAAGAAGUAUCUCGGUAUGUAAACUUCUAUCAGCAGGGAAGAUAAUGACGGUA
rnacentral:rRNA from 1 species